ensembl:lncRNA
CUCUAGAUGGCUCUGUCCAAUAGCUCUAACUCAGUAUGACAUAACAUCAUCAUCAAGCACAGCUGAUUGGUUCUCUCCUGUAUUGGUAGUUAAUGAGCUUGCUGCUCAACAUUAAAAUAUUUAACUAAAGUUUGUGGUGUAGCAUCAUUCAUGUUAUAUGUGCAGCAGUAUAUCUUACAUGCUCACAGCAACAUGUUGUGGAUGUACUGGCAGUAGCAAGUCUCGGUACUUGCAGCAGCAGCAGCGUAGCAGAUCUAUUCUGCCAAGACCAAAUACAAUAAAGUGCCCCUAUUAUGGGUUAUGAAAGGUUCAUAUUUUGGUUUUGGGAGGCCCCAACAACAGGUUGACAUGCAUGCAAGGUCAAAAAACAGUUUCAUUUUCUUAUAAUAUGCUUUUUUUUUUUUACCUUACUUGCUCAACGACUCCCAAACGAUUCGCUCAAUGAUUAAUAUUUCCAAACCCCUCCUUUGUGUGAUGCUAAUCUACAGUGAUUGGUCAGAUUGGUCAGUUUCCAUUUCAUCAUGCCUGUAAUGGCUAAUAAAGCAGCAUUUGUGAACACAUUUUUGCUUUGUGUACAGCUGUUACCGGGGAAACAUCUAUUUUCAUAGCUCAAAAAUAAAACCCACCACCUUCCCCAGCUCCACCUGUAUAGAUCUGCUGCGGCACCUAGUGGCAAAGAAUGAAUUUGCGUUUUCAUUCAGACCAAGUCUACGUUCCAGUUCACUUUUAGGGGGAAUCCCCGCCCCCAUUUUGAAGUGUGUUCCACUUUGUCAAGUGGACGAGGGAAGUUUACAUAGACAUACCCUUGACCCCUUGAUUUUGACAGAGGGAGGGAGUCUGCUUCAAAUGCACACUUCAAGCCACUCUAUAGACCACAAUGCAACACGAUUAUGAUGUCAUCGCAGAUCGCGUUUACUUUAUCCCCACCCCAAACAACUCUAUAAUAUAUAAAUUAUUUUUUUUUUUUUUGGCAUUUAUAACAGCCCAAGCGUAUCUAUAUACAUAUAGAAUGCUG